rnacentral:lncRNA from 1 species
CAAACUUUUGUAAAAGGAGUAUUACUCCCAAAUUCAUAACUUCAUAUAAUUCUCUAUCUCCUCCUCUCCUUGUAAUUAUACAGGAAAGGUCUUGUAUUAAUCUUUCUAUCAGUAGACAGGAUAGGGACCUUUCUUAAAAAAAAAAAUAAAGAAAAAGAAAAAAGAGAGAUCAACCCCUUUCCAUCUUUUAUCAAGGUGAAGUCCUUUUCCAUUUAUAUAAAUAUUGCUCCUCAUAGUAAAUUGUUGGUGUAAACCUCACAAAGAUAAUAGCACUCGACUAUGUGACAGAGCCCAUAGAUUUACCACCAAGUACACUGCUGUUCUUAUCUACAACCAUGUAAUCAAAAAGUUAAAAAUGUAACUCUUCCAUGCAGCACACAUAAGCCACAUAAUGCAUGUAUCAAUUAAAAUAGAUUUUGUAAAAAGUGACAUUUUUUUGAAGAAUGUGUAGUUAAAAAGUAGAUAAAAAUUUUGGGUUUACAUGCAAUAUUAUUUUAUUGGGAGAGUGGUUAAAAAUGAGUUUGGGGAAAAAUGAGCUUAAAGAAUGGGGAUCAAACAAAGGAUAUAUUUGACACCAUGCUGGGUUCAAGCACAUAUAGUUUUGUUCCACCACCUUCCCAUCAUUAAUUGCUCCUAUUUGAACUUCAACCUUGCUUCAUAAACAUAUAAUGUCAAAACAAUUUGCAUAAUGAUUAAAGAUUAAGAACUCUCAGUGCUCAUUCAAAAUACAAUGCUAAAAUUAACAAGUAUCCUUUAUAGUUCUGCUUCCACUAGAUCCUUUUUGGGGACAAGGCAGGUUGUCAUUAUUUUCAUCUUUCCCAUGUGCAGUUGUUGUCAAAGGUACUUCACAU